UUGAUUAUUUCUUAGUGCUUCAGAAGACGCGUUUCAGAAAGAGUUUUGGGGGGUGCUUUCGGCAGGCCUUGUAGGCGCCCCGCCCUGGGGCGGCCUGCCGAGGCAACAGGUAAUUCAAGAACACAAUGGGUUUGGAGUCUUGCAACUCAGUAAUGAUCCCUCCGCUGGUUCACCAACGGAGA
rnacentral:misc_RNA from 1 species